rnacentral:tRNA from 1 species
GCCCUCGUAGCACAAUGGAAGUGCAAGGCAGUUCUACCGCCUAGGUUGCAGGUUCAAAUCCUGUCGAGGGUA